UACGAGGGGGGCGAGCGUUGUUCGGAAUUAUUGGGCGUAAAGGGUGCGUAGGCGGUUUGUUAAGUCUGCUGUGAAAUCCCCGGGCUCAACCUGGGAAUGGCAGUGGAUACUGGCAAGCUAGAGUGUGUCAGAGGAUGGUGGAAUUCCCGGUGUAGCGGUGAAAUGCGUAGAGAUCGGGAGGAACAUCAGUGGCGAAGGCGGCGAUCUGGGUCGGUACUGACGCUGAGG
rnacentral:rRNA from 1 species